rnacentral:rRNA from 1 species
UACCAGCUCUUCGAGUGGUGUGGAUGUUUAUUGGGCCUAAAGCAUCCGUAGCUGGCUGGGCAAGUCCCCUGUUAAAUCCACCGAUUUAAUCGUUGGAGUGCGGGGGAUACUGUUCGGCUAGGGGACGGGAGAGGCAGACGGUAUUUUCGGGGUAGGGGUGAAAUCCUAUAAUCCCGGGAAGACCACCAGUGGCGAAGGCUGUCUGCUAGAACGCGCCCGACGGUGAGGGAUGAAAGCUGGGGGAGCGAACCGGAUUAGAUACCCGGGUAGUCCCAGCUGUAAACGAUGCAGGCUAGGUGUUUGGGCGGCCACGUGCCGCUCUAGUGCCGCAGGGAAGCCGUUAAGCCUGCCGCCUGGGGAGUACGGCCGCAAGGCUGAAACUUAAAGGAAUUGGCGGGGAGCACCACAAGGGGUGAAGCUUGCGGUUUA